rnacentral:rRNA from 1 species
GAUGAACGCUGGCGGCGUGCUUAACACAUGCAAGUCGAACGGAAAGGCCAGUGCUUGCCCUGGUACUCGAGUGGCGAACGGGUGAGUAACACGUGGGUGAUCUGCCCUGUACUUCGGGAUAAGCCUGGGAAACUGGGUCUAAUACCGGAUAGGACACCUUUUUGGAUAUUGUUCUGGAAAGCUUUUGCGGUAUGGGAUGAGCUCGCGGCCUAUCAGCUUGUUGGUGGGGUAAUGGCCUACCAAGGCGUCGACGGGUAGCCGGCCUGAGAGGGUGGACGGCCACAUUGGGACUGAGAUACGGCCCAGACUCGUACGGGAGGCAGCAGGGGGGAAUAUUGCACAAUGGGCGCAAGCCUGAUGCAGCGACGCCGCGUGGGGGAUGAAGGCCUUCGGGUUGUAAACUGCUUUCGCUAGGGACGAAGCGCAAGUGACGGUACCUGGAGAAGAAGCACCGGCUAACUACGUG